rnacentral:ncRNA from 1 species
CAUCGCAAGGUGAAAUCUGAAGGAAGCUGGCGGCAAACAUCUGACCUAACGAACAGGAACUUCAUAUAAGGCAUUUAACCAUGGAUACGAUUGCAACGCAAAUCAAAGUCCCAUAGCUAUUCGGAAUGGUUGGUGUAAAUGAAGUGGGUAUAAGAUGGAAAGAA